UUAAGCAAUCAAAGAUUGGAUACUAUGACGGUAUAAAUGUGGCACAAAGAUUGGAUACGAAUGCAACCUCGCAAAUGCACCUGGCCCCAAGACUGAGCUGCAUCCACCACCUAAGUAACGUAAGAAUUUCUUCCCUUCAACUUCUACAAAUUCAUGCCCAAUUGAUAACCAAUGGCUUCAAAUCUCCCUCCCCUUACGCCAAGCUAAUCACCCAUUUAUGCAAGAAAUCUUCCUCAGAAUCCAUCGCCCACGCCCAUUUGAUCUUCCGGCACCACCAAUACUCUCCAAAUCUCUUCCUCUUCAACACUCUCAUAAGAUGCGCUCCACCUCAUCAUUCCAUCUCCAUUUUCGCCACUUGGGUCUCCACCUCCCACUUCGAAUUUGACGAUUUCACUUUCAUUUUCGUGCUUGGAGCUUGCGCGCGAGCCCCAUCUGUUUCUACGUUAAUGAUUGGUAGGCAAAUUCAUACUCAUAUUCUUAAACGUGGGAUUGUUUCGAACAUUUGGGUGCAGACUACUAUGAUACAUUUUUAUUCCAUUAAUAAAGAUGUGGGUAGUGCGCGGAAGUUGUUUGAUGAAAUGUCUUUGAGAAAUAGUGUUACUUGGAAUGCGAUGAUUGCAGGGUACUGCUCACAAGGUGGUAAGGUUUCUCAGAAAUAUGCCCGAGAUGCGUUGGAAUUGUUUCGGGGGAUGUUGGUUGAAUCAACGAAUUUUGAGGUGAAACCAACGGAUACUACAAUGGUUUGCAUUCUUUCAGCUGCAUCUCAACUAGGUAUGCUUGAAACCGGUUCUUGUGUUCAUGCUUAUAUCAAGAAGACAGUUGAUUCCCCUGAAAAAGAUGUGUUUAUUGGCACUGGCUUGGUUAAUAUGUACUCAAAAUGUGGGCUUCUUAACAGUGCCUCGUCAGUUUUUAAGCAGAUGAAGCAGAAGAACGUUUUGACAUGGACAUCCAUGGCGACAGGACUGGCUGUUCAUGGAAGGGGUAAAGAAGCAUUGGAGCUAUUGGAUGCAAUGGGAGCUCAUGGUGUAAAGCCAAACGCAGUAACUUUCACGAGUUUGCUUUCUGCUUGCUGUCAUGGAGGGCUUAUUGAAGAGGGGCUCCAUUUGUUUCGUGUCAUGGAGAGGAAGUUUGGUGUUGUGCCUCAAAUGCAGCAUUAUGGCUGCAUUGUUGACCUUCUUGGGCGCUCUGGGCACUUGAGAGAGGCAUACAAAUUGAUACUCGAAAUGCCAAUGGAACCUGAUGGUGUUUUAUGGAGGAGUUUGCUGAGUUCUUGUAUGCUCCAUGGUGAUGUUGAAAUGGGAGAGAGAGUGGGUAAGUUGCUUGUUGAGAGACAGGGAGGGGAGAGUUUUGAUGACGAAUGGUGUGUUGGAAGUGAGGACUUUGUAGCUUUGUCAAAUGUUUAUGCUUCUGUCGAAAGGUGGGACGAUGUGGAGGCUUUGAGAGAUGAAAUGAAGAUCAAAGGGAUUGAAAACAAAGCUGGGUGUAGUUCACUACAAACUACGGGUUCUCAAGGCUUGGUGGAGGCUUUAUUAUAGAUGCUUGAACUCCCUCGGAUGCGCUUCUGAAGAUGCUCCAAGCUUGCCACUCGCCGCAAGGAAGCUGUUCUUGCCAUCUUGUUCCUCGGUACGGUUGCCAUUUCCAGAGAAUUCUUCUGAAUAUUUGCAGAAGAAAUGUCUGCAAUAUGACUGUUAUGUGCAUCUGUUGAUAUCUCUGAAGGGCUUCCCUCAAAUGAUUGGAUGCUAAUUGAGGAUACUUCCGACAUGGCAUGGAACAUAGAUUUUGUACCAGUGAUUCGCUUUACGGUUUCUUCAGCCAUUUGUACCUGAAAAUGGAAUCAUUGGCAAUGUCAUAUCAAGAGAGAAGUUAGAACAAACGAAGAUCAAGCUUUAGUUUUAUAUUGCUGUCUCAACUCCCUCAAAUCAAAAUCAGCCAUCGACUUACCUUAGCUCUCAAAGUUUCAAGGAUCCAUUUGCUCAUUCAUAUCAUUUUCUCCUUCAACAUCAUCUUCUUCAUCAGUUUGCUCUCUGGAGGAUGAUAUGUUUGCUGAGCUGACUUGAAUUCCAUCCCUCUUUUGUACACAAGUAUACGAUGGAGUAGGGCAAACCUUUUGAAGGGGAUUGGGAUGGCAAGUGUGACAUAUUUUGAGCUAGAGUGGAACUUGCACAAGAAUCUCGACUCUUCCUAAAAGAUCCCUGUUGUGACAUGAAUCCGUAAGAACGAUCAUUAGUUGAACUAAUGUAAUGUUUGUACGAUUAGAAGUUUGAUCUUUCUAUCAUAUGUUAAAUAAAAUAAAGCUACUUUGUAACCAUUAUGUAUGUAUAAACACAAUUUAGUUGUAAUCUAAACUCGUCACUUGAAUGAAGCAUCAAUACCAAGCAACAACUAAACGAGGAUAUUCCAAUAAAA